ensembl:lncRNA
CUGCAGGCAUUCAAGGCCAGGCUGGAUGUGGCUCUGGGCAGCCUGGUCUGCUGGUUGGUGACCCCGCACAUAGCAGGGGGUUGGAACUGCAUGAGCAUUGUGCUCCUUUUCAACCCAGGCCAUUCUAGGAUCCUAUGAUUCUAUGAAGCCAUGGAGGAGGAGCAGCUCCCUUCUGGCCUCCUUAGGGCUGGCCCAAAGCAUCCCUACACGGACCGCACAGCCUGGCUCCUCCUUACCAAGUUAAGCACCAAGUUUUGCAGUGCCAGCUGGCUGCUGUAAUUGGCUCUCUCGUGGCGUUAUUCACAGCUCUUCCCUCUUUCUUUUCCAGCUACCUUCCAUCUUGCUUGUUAAAAGCAAAGGAUAUUUCGUCGAAUUGGAAUUCAUUAGUCUUCCUAACAGAGGGAGCCUACUUAGACCUAAAUUGGUGGUUAGCAAACGCAGAGAUAAUUCCCAUGCGUUGGUAUUUAUCUUCCCAGUUCGGCAGCGUGUCGAGACAGCUGCCUCGGCGUCUGUCGGGGAGGCUCCAGCCAGCGGAGGGGAAUACAAAGAUACGGCUUGAAUGCUUUUGCUUUUAUGGUUGGAGCCAAGAUGACCCUUAAGAGGCCGUGCUGAUGCUCCCACACCCGUGGUGGUGUUCCAAACACCCGCACUGCGAGGCAGCAGGGACGGCACCAGAAACGAGGAGCUGCAAUUGCAUGUGACACCUUCCUGAGUGCUCCUCCGCAGAUGCAAAAAAGGAAUUUUGCUCCGGCCCCGGGGGAGCUGAGCCCCGCCAGGUCAUUGGGCCGAAUCAAAUUGCCAAUGUGCAGCUCUGAAAUCUCAUCUGCGUUGUCCUGCGUGUGCAGCCGGGGCCGGGGCUGCUGACAGCCCUUGUGAUGAGCUGCUCCGCAUCCGAGAUCCAGCAGGAAACUGUAAAUGAGAUCUCAUCUCGCAUCGGCACCCGCGGCACAGCCUCGUCCUGAGCAGAAGUCAUACAAAUGAGGAUUUCACAGAAUCACAGAAUGGCCUGGGUUGGAGGGGACCUCAGGGAUCAUCAAUCUCCAACCCCCCUGCCGGGCAGGGCCACCAACCUCCCCAUUUACCAGCCCAGGCUGCCCAGGGCCCCAUCCAACCUGGCCUUGAACACCUCCAGGGAUGGACGGGGCAUCCACAGCCUCUCUGGGCAGCUGUUCCAGCACCUCACCACUCUCCUGGCUCCCUUCAGGUACUGAAAGGCUGCAAUGAGGUCACCCCGCAGCCUUCUCUUCUCCAGGCUGAAUAAGCCCAGCUCCCUCAGCCUGUCCUCGUAGGGGAGGUGCUCCGGCCCCCUGAUCAUCUUUGUGGC